UAUCAAAAACAUCGCCUAAAGACACCCCCAUUCUAGGUAUAUUCUGCCCAGUGAGAGUAACCCUCUUAAACGGCCACAGUACCCUGACUGUGCAAAGGUAGCAUAAUAAUUUGCCACUUAAUUAGUGGCUAGAAUGAAGGAACAAAUGGAAAGCCACUUUAUUAUUCUUCCCUAUAAAAAUUAGUAUUCAAGCGAAUAACCUUGGAUUUCCCUGAAAGACAAAAAGACCCUACUGAACUUAAAGACACCCCCUAAAUCUAGGCCGUACUCUUUUAGCUGGGAAGGCUUAAGAGCACCCCCAACCUCUUAGUUCCUACAAUAGACCCUAAGUCACCCCUUUGACCCACCUACUGUUCAUCAAAUAUAAGUUACCAUAGGGAUAACAGGCUAAUGCUUCUCGAAAGUCCAUAUUAACAGAAGCGAUUGGUACCUCGAUGUUGGCUUAGGAACACUUUAUAUCGCAGCCGGUAUAAACAGUUGGUUUGUUCAACCAUUAAAUUCCUACAUGA
rnacentral:rRNA from 1 species